AGGGAGCGGUGCGUGCGCGAAGACGGCGGCGGCGCGCGCUGUGUCCGGUCCCCUCCCCCCAGGGGUCCGUGAGGGCAGGGAGAGCCCGCGGAGCGCUUUUGUCGCGGGAAAUGGGGCUGGGGCUGUUUGCCCGGGAAUGUUCGUGAAGUGCCUUUAGCAGAAUCCCUGGGGCAGAGCAGGCUGCUGUGCAGUGGAGAAGACCAGGGCCCUCUCUGCCCUCACAUCGCCACAUCGCUGCCCUCACAUCGCCACAUUGCUGCCCUCACAUCGCCACAUUGCUGCCCUCACAUCGCCACAUUGCUGCCCUCAUAUCGCCACAUUGCUGCCCUCACUGCCAGCAAGGAACUGUUGAGGGCAGUGGCUAUGAAGAAGGAGCAGCCCUUCCCUUGCAGGGCUACACGUUCCUGCCGGUGCAGCAGCAGCAGCCUCCCCUCCCUCCUUCCUCUCCCCUCUCUUAGUUACUGUCCUGUCCCUCUUCUACAUCUCUAGUGCAACACUCAAUUUUGCAUGUUCUUCUGAGGUACUCUGAUCCAUACUUACUCUCCAUGUACAUUUCUGAACAUGAAAAGUA